AUGAGGCGUCGACAUCAUACGAGGCGUCGACAUCAGAUGAGGCGUCGACCCUUGGACAGGAAGAGGCGUCGACUUCAGAACACGAGGAGGGGUCGACUUCAGAACACGAGGAGGGGUCGACUUCAGAACACGAGGAGGCGUCGACUUCAGAACACGAGGAGGCGUCGACUUCAGAACACGAGGAGGCGUCGACUUCAGAACACAAGGAGGUGUCGACUUCAGAACACGAGGAGGUGUCGACUUCAGAACUGGAAGGGGCGUCGACCGCGGGACAGGACAGGGCGUCGACCACCAUCGACUUCUAGUCCAGGGCAGGGGCGUCGGCUUCUGGUCCGGGGACGUCGACUUCUGGUCCUUCGACUUCUGGACCAUCGACCUCUGGACCGCCGGCCUCUGGACCGGAACCGUCUGCUUCUGGUCCGGGGGCGUCGGCUUCUGGUCCUUCGACUUCUGGACCGUCGACCUCUGGACCGCCGACCUCUGGACCGGAGCCGGAACCAUUGGCUUCUGGUCUGGGGGAGUCGGCUUCUGGUCCAGGGGCUUCGACUUCUGGUCCUUCGAGUUCUGGGCCGUCGACCUCUGGACCACCGGCCUCUGGACUGGAGCCGGAACCGUCUGCUUCUGGUCCGGGGGUGUCGACUUCUAGUCCUUCGACUUCUGGACCGUCGACCUCUGGACCGCCGGCCUCUGGACCGGAACCGUCUGCUUCUGGACCGGUCCCGUCUGCUUCUGGGCCGGUCCCGUCUGCUUCUGGGCCGGUCCCGUCUGCUUCUGGGCCGGUCCCGUCUGCUUCUAGGCCGGUUCCGUCUGCUUCUAGGCCGGUACCGUCUGCUUCUGGGCUGGUUCUGUCUGCUUCUGGGCCGGUUCUGUCUGCUUCUGGGCCCGAACCGCCUGCUUCUGGGCCCGAAUCGUCUGUUUCUGGGCCCGAACCGUCCGCUUCAGGGCCGGAUCCGUCGACGUCUGGGGUGGAGGCGGAGCAGCUGCGGGAGGGGCUGCCUGGACAGGCUGCAUGUGAACCGGAGGUGCUGGGAACGGAGAGAGCAGGGAAGACAAAGUGUCCAGCUGAAGCUCCCGUGGCUGAGGGCCCAAUGGAGCUGGGCCAGCUUAGCCCGGAGACCGGCGAGCUCCGCUGGGUGUGAUGAGGAGGACAGAGCGUCCAGGCGGGCUUCCUGGGAGUUGAUAAGCUGGCGGAACCGGCCAAGCUCCGCCGAGAGACUGACAAGCUCGGUCAGCUGGGCUGCGGCCAACGCUCCUCCCCCUGUAGGUGACAGAGGCGCUGAUUCGGCAGGAGACGGGACUGCUGGUCUGGCCGGGGGCGUGUCCAAACUGCUGCGCCUGGCAGGGGCAGCGGCGAACUCACAGCUCCGUCCCGGGACACCGGAUCGCGGUGGAGUCCGGCGUCUUUCCCCACGCUGUGGACCAACUCUGGGGGAACAGACAGCCAGCCUCGUGCCCUCGUAG
rnacentral:lncRNA from 1 species